AUUUGGAUGUGGACUGGUCAGCUUCAGGCCAUAUCAAAGUUUAUUGAUGCCAUCUUUCCUGGCUGUGUUUUUCACAGUUGUUUUUGAAAUAGCUGGCAUAUCAUUGGGACUACCUCUUCACACUAGGAAAUGCAAGGGUCCACCAUACAAAAGGAAAGAUGUGUACUGGGGACUUUGUGCUGCUGUGCCUAUG